rnacentral:rRNA from 1 species
CCCUUAGAUGUUCUGGGCCGCACGCGCGCUACACUGAUUCAUGCAACAAGUUUUGUCCUUGGCUGAUAGGCCUGGGUAAUCUUUGAACGUGAAUCGUGAUGGGGAUAGAUGAUUGCAAUUAUUCAUCUUCAACGAGGAAUUCCUAGUAAACGCAAGUCAUCAGCUUGCAUUGAUUACGUCCCUGCCCUUUGUACACACCGCCCGUCGCACCUACCGAUUGAAUGGUCCGGUGAAAUCUCGGGACGGCGGCUCGGUCGCUUGCGUCCGACUGCUGAAACUUGAUUAAACCAUAUCAUUUAGAGGAAGGUGAANUCGUAACA